GACAGAGGAUGCAAGCGUUAUCCGGAAUGAUUGGGCGUAAAGCGUCUGUAGGUGGCUUUUCAAGUCCGCCGUCAAAUCCCAGGGCUCAACCCUGGACAGGCGGUGGAUACUGGAAGGCUGGAGUACGGUAGAGGAGGGUGGAAUUCCCGGUGUAGCGGUGAAAUGCGUAGAGAUCGGGAGGAACAUCAGUGGCGAAGGCGGCCCUCUGGACCAGUACUGACGCUGAGGCACGAAAGCGUGGGGAGCAAACAGG
rnacentral:rRNA from 1 species